AUAGGGUGAUGUUUUGAAGAAGCAACGGUUGCAAAGAGAAGGUGGGCUAAAAAUUUGUCCCAAAAAUAGGGAGCACAUCUCUUUAAGGGAACCACAUCUAAUCACGGCUCUACCUCUGAAAUGAUCAGCAUCUCUUAACUCUUUAUAUCUCCAGCUUCGAAAUGAAAAACAUUGGUGAUUAACUUUCAUAACUUUAAGCUAUUAGCCGAAUGGUUUUCACUUUUUAUCGGGGUGCAACUUGUUUUAACCUGUUAUUCGAAUUCGAAUCUUCAAAAGUAGGGACUAAAAAGAACUUAAAUAAAAUUUCUCUAAACUAAAUUUAGAACACAAGUUUAUCUCCAUUUAAACUAAUUAAGACAGAUGUUGACAGAUUUCUAAAAUAAUGUCAAUAUAUCAUGAUGUAAUGUUUUUUAAUUGAAAAAGAAUACAAAAAACUUUGAAAGAGUUCUUAACAAGAAUUCAAGUGCUAUCAUUUAGUGGCACUGCGAAUUCAUAAUUACAUAUUCGGCAUAAUUAUUUAUGGUCAUCUCAUAAUUAAGAAUUAAUUAAUAAUUAAAUUGUGUUUAGGGUCAAAAAUAUGUAAUAAAUAAAUGAAAAGAAAGAUUUGACUUAAGAAGCUCUAUCAACUGUCAGGAACUGUUGACUAACCGCUCUGCCACCGGCCAUCGCAAAUGUGGGUCAUGGAAUCUAAUUAACUUUUUCUCUCUUUUAUAUUGUUGGAGUCGAUUAUUCUAUUCAUGGGUAUUAACAAUAUAUUGUUUUGGAAUAAAAUUUCAAUAUAAACUUAUAAUCAGAAAUUUGUUGAGACUGAUCAAUAUUAUUUUAUUGUAACAUUAUCCAUAUUAUUAGUUCUACACUAAAAAAGAAAUCUCUCCCCAUUUUUAAAGAGAAAAUGAUCUAGAGAGCAAUUGAAUCAAAUUUGUAUGGACUCGAACUUACUCCCUUAUUUAUCCUUGAGGGAGGAGUCACAACAUGCAUAUGUAAUAUUAAAAUUAUGGGGAGAUAGUCAAUUUCCCCUACUGUAAUUAAUAUAUAUCAUUUACCCUUUUGUUAUUGUCAAAUACACUUUUAGUUUAGUUUACAAUAACUCAUCUGACAACAUUAGUUUACAAUACUAUUCAUAUUGUCAAAUACACUUUUAUUUAUA
rnacentral:lncRNA from 1 species